rnacentral:rRNA from 1 species
AUUGAACGCUGGCGGCAGGCCUAACACAUGCAAGUCGAGCGAGCGGCGGACGGGUGAGUAAUGUAUGGGGACUGCCCGAUAGAGGGGGAUAACUACUGGAAACGGUGGCUAAUACCGCAUACUAUCGGAUAACCCAUAUGGGAUUGGCUAGUAGGUGGGGUAAAGGCUCACCUAGGCGACGAUCUCUAGCUGGUCUGAGAGGAUGAUCAGCGACACUGGGACUAAUACACUGCCCAGUCUCCGACGGAGGCAGCAGUGGGAAAUAUUUCACAAUGGGCGCAAGCCUGAAGCAUCCAUGCCGCGUGUAUGAAUAAGGCCUUAGGGUUGUAAAGUACUUUCAGCGGGGAGGCGUUACCCGCAGAAGCAGCACCGGCUAACUCCGUGCCAACAGCCGCGGUAAUUC